ensembl:lncRNA
AUGUCUGCCCCCCCAGUCACUGCUGCCUCUGCUCCUGACUUGACUGCCUCUGCUGCCUCUGCUCCUGACACGACUGCCUCUGCUCCUGACAUGACUGCCUCUGCUGCCUCUGACAGCGGCGUUCCUGCUGAGACUAGUGCAGCUGUUGUCUCAGCCCCUCACCCGGCGGGCCUGGACCCACGGGCCUCUGUUGACCAUGCUUCCAGUGUCACCACAGACGCCGACUCCAUCCCAACCCAUGUCCCGACCACCUCUGCCAUCCUUCCGGUCCCGUCCGUGUUAGGGACCCCCGCCGCUACCGCCUGUCAAACGGAAGCUCUGACCUCCCCAGCUGCCAGUGGCAGCUCCGUGGUGAGCCAGGACCAAGGCCCGAGCUUGGUGGAUGUAGCGGCGGCUGUCGUGGCUUGUCCUCCUGUCAGCCAUGCAGGUCUGGAACGGCAGCAGCAAAACAAUCUGCCUCAGGUUCAGUACCCGCCAGAACCAACUCAGCCCCAGACAGUGCAACACGUGCAGCAACAACAACAACAACAGCAGCAGCAGCAACAACAACAGCAGCAGCAACAACAACAACAACAACAGCAACAACAGCAGCAGCAACAACAACAACAACAACAACAGCAGCAGUACCUGCAGACUGUGCAACUCCAACAGGUACAGCAACAACAGCAAGUAUACCAAGAGCAGAUACAACUACAGCAGCAGCAGAAGCAACAGGCCUUGCAACAGUCUAUUCAGCAGUUACAGAUGCUUCAACAGAUGCAGCCAACAGCACCACAACAAAACCAGCAGAAGCAGACAGCAGAGCUCCAUGUGCAGCCCCAGCCUAGUCAGACGGACCAGUUACAACAGCAGUGUGUGUCCCUGCAGCCACAGACGGAGAUAUUGCCACGGCAACAACAGACCCAACAACUGCCUGUCCAAAUGGAGAAUAUGCAAUACAACAUGCAGUUGCAAGUGCAACAGCCACAAACACUGCCAAAGCAACAACAGCCACACCCGUUACCACAACAACAGCCAUGCCCGUUACCACAACAACAACAACAGCCACACUCUUUACUACAACAACAACAGCCACAACAGUUACCACCACAACAACAGCCACACUUGUUACCACAACACCAGCAACCACACCAAUUACCACAACAACCACACCCAUUACCACACCCACUACCACAACAACAGCCACACCCACUACCACAACAACAACUACAACAACAGCCACAUCCACUACCACAACAACAACUACAACAACAGCCACAUCCACUACCACAACAACAACAACAGCCACAUCCACUACCACAACAACAACAGCCACACUUGUUACCACAACAACAACAGCCACAGGCUGUGAUUGAACUGCAGCAACAGCAUAAGCAACAAUUAGCUGUGCAGCAGGCGCUCCAUAUUCAGCAGCAACAGCAGAUGCUCCAACAACAACAAUAUCAACAACAACAACAUCAACAACAACAACAGCAGCAGCAGCCUCAGCUGGUAGCCCAGUCAGUGAACCAACAGUUUGUCCAACCACAGUCAGUACAGCCAUUAAACAUGGCUCAGGUGCAACACCAGCAAGCGCAACAACAACAUCUAGAACAGACACAACAACAACUCGUGCAGUCACAACAGCGUCCACUGGAUCAACCUCAACAACCACAGCAUGGGCAGAAACAACAAGAGGUGAACCCCCAGCAGAAAGCUCCUCUUCAGAAGCAGCCGUCGUUUCCGCAGUCAGAGUCUGAGGUGUCUACAGGGGAGGCCGGUGCGACUGAAGAUUCGGGCGGCCGCUCUGCCCCUCCACAGCCCUCCUCUGACUCCUCUAUGCCCCCCCUGCCCCUGAGUGUGAACCCAACCCCCGAGGCCCCCCUAGCGGCCCUCCCCCUGACUCUGAGUCCCUCCCCGGUCCAGCCGUCCUCUGUGGCGGAGUCGGACAGCGAGGGCCCUCCCAAAAUUGAAUUUGUCGACAACCGCAUCAAGACUCUGGAUGAGAAGCUGAGGAACCUGCUGUAUCAGGAGUACAGUGGGGGGGCGGCUGUGACGGGGGGCCCUGCUGUGGCUUCCCCCGCCGGACCCACCUCUGUGUCAGCAGCCUCCACCUCGGCCGGGGGGGACGAAUCCUCCGAGCCGCAGUCCCUCCAUACCUCCUCCUUCCCUCCUCCCUCGUCCUCCUCAGACACGUCUCCUCAUUCCUCCUCCUCCACCUCCUCCACCCCGUCCCGCUCCUCUUCCACCUCUCCCGACAUAGAGAGGGGGAGAGGAACGGGGGAGGUUGAGCUUCCAGUAGUUCAGGCAGAGCAACAGCCUGCCCAGGCUGUCCCCUCCGACUCUCCCCGCACCUCCCUCCAGGCCCUCCCACACGGAGACCCGGCCGAGCCUCCGACUGUCCCCGGAGAACCAGAUGUUCUUGUAAGUGAGGUGUUCAUAUCUGACUGUGAAAUUGAAAGAAAUUAUUGA